CGGACGGGUGAGUAACGCGUGGACAACCUACCCCGCACUGGGGGACAACAGCCGAAACGGCUGCUAAUACCGCAUAUGCGCACGGCCCCGCAUGGGGCCGCGCGGAAAGCGCAUGCGGUGCGGGAUGGGUCCGCGUCUGAUUAGCUUGUUGGCGGGGUAACGGCCCACCAAGGCGACGAUCAGUAGCCGGCCUGAGAGGGUGGACGGCCACAUUGGGACUGAGACACGGCCCAGACUCCUACGGGAGGCAGCAG
rnacentral:rRNA from 1 species